rnacentral:pre_miRNA from 1 species
UUUGUGACCGUCACUAACGGGCAGUUGUGUGUUUGCUCGUUUUGACGAUCGCAAAAUG